rnacentral:lncRNA from 1 species
GUGUGGUAGUCUGCUCCGUAGAAGUGGUGGCUGUUGUGGUUGUAGCCUCAGUGGUAGUGCUGGCAGUUGGUGUGGUAGUCUGUUCAGUUGAAGUGGUAGCUGUUGUGAAGGUAGUCUCAGUGGUAGUGCUGGAGAUUGGGGUGGUAGUCUGUUCCACUGAAGUGGUGGCUGUUGUGACGGUUGUCGUUUCAGUGGAAAUGGUAGUGGUGGCUGUUGCAGUAGAAGCCUCAGUGGUAGUGCUGGUAGUUGGUGUGGUAGUCUGUUC